ensembl:snoRNA
CCCAAGACUAGAGUUACGUUCUGACAUGAUUACUUGUCCUGGCAUGCUAGAUUUCUUGAAGAGGAUCGGCUUGUCUUGGUUCACCAGUGGGAGCAGUCAGUGCCCCUAUUGGUGCCCUGAACAGAAACAUGU